UACGUAGGGGGCAAGCGUUGUCCGGAUUUAUUGGGCGUAAAGAGCGUGUAGGCGGCCAGGUAGGUCAGCUGUGAAAACUCGAGGCUCAACCUCGAGACGUCGGUUGAAACCAUCUGGCUAGAGUCCGGAAGAGGAGAGUGGAAUUCCUGGUGUAGCGGUGAAAUGCGCAGAUAUCAGGAAGAACACCCGUGGCGAAGGCGGCUCUCUGGGACGGUACUGACGCUGAGGCACGAAGGCCAGGGGAGCAAACGGG
rnacentral:rRNA from 1 species